ACCUUGUUAUGUGAUUGAUAACACAUAUUUAUAGGUGGAGUUUGGUAUGGUUUUCUUGUAGAAAACCAAUGUGGGACAAAAACAUUAGAUUUCUUCCCAUAGCUUCUUAUGAGGUUCUUAAUUAAGUGCCUUUGUGUUGGGCUUUUCCUUUGAAUGAGCCUCAUGGGCUUUUUGGGUUAAAGCCCAAUUAGGCACAUCAUUAAGCCCCCCACUCCCAGGUUGAGCCACGGGCCCGUGGGUCUGGCUGGGAGUAAUUAGGAAUAGUCGCUCGAAGACCAAAUAAUUUUCUUGUUUUCCUUGAGUUACAAGGUCGUAGGAGAUUUUGAAGUCGGCUACAGGGAUCUUGCAGAGGCGGGCGCUGCAGUUAGGUGAUGAUAAUUUUUUAAGGGAGGCCCGUACGAUCGCCGCCAAAAUUAUUGGAGGAAGUUGUGAUAUCCAAUUGGCUUUGUUGCCUAGUGAGAAUCGCACAUUUCCUAAAGAAUGAGUUAUGUUUCAACUUAUCCUGCGAGAGGGUAUCCCUUGGCUAUAUAGCCUAAUGGGGGUCCGUCUCUCGUAAAGAAUGAGCUUUACUUUAUCUUUUAGCGGGGCGAAAUUCCUUGGCUUUAUUGCCUAGUGGGAAGCACGCAUUUGGUAAAGAAUGAGUUAUGCUUCAUCUUUUUCGGUGAGACGGUAUCCCUUGGCUAUAUCGCCUAGUGGGAGGCUCGGCUCUCGUAAAGAAUAAGUUUUUAUUUUAACUUUUUAGGUAAGGUAUCCCUUGGCUUUAACGCCUAGUGGGAAGUCCGUAUUUUUGUAAAGAAUGAGUUAUGCUUCAUCUUUUUUGGUGAGAUGGUAUCCCUUGGCUAUAUCGCCUAGUGGGAAGUCCGUAUUUUUGCACUUGGUGGUUGAUUAGACCCUCAAGUUUUUUAUGCAGGAAGUCUGCACGUUUACCUAAGUUUUUUGAGGCGGGUAAGACUUCCCUGAGCUUUAGUUGCUCUAUUUUUUGGAGUUUUCGGGAGCGAGAAACCAAGGUUCGGGCUGGCCAGACCCUUUGUGAUCAUUGAUAUCUUCCCCUUUAGCUUUUUUUGAAUCAAUUGAUUUUUUGUUAAAUCGAUUGUAGAUGCCUCAAACGAGAAUGAGUAGAGAAGACAAAUGGUUAAUGUAGAAAUCACGGUGGCGGUAUCCCACCGACUAAAAUAGUUUAUUAAGAAUCAUGCUGGCGGUAUGCCUUGAAAAUAUUGUGCGGGGCGGUAUGCCGCCGACUUAUUGCUGAAAAUAAAUUACAUGGGGCCCGCGUGGGGCUAUAGUAAAUACUAAGUAAAGCAUUUCUUCAGGAUUGCGAUUGUUCUAGUGCCCGUCGUGGACAAGUCUUCCGAGCGCUCGCAAAAGCUGAAAAAACUCCUCAGUAGUGUGACCCCGAUCUCUGUGGUAUUCACAGUAAUCAUCCAAAUUUUGUUGUUCUGGAUUCUCCUUCAUCCAUCUCGGUAGUUGUAGAAUUCAUUUAUGUUUUAUGAUGAUCAUUAUGUCAACAAGCUUAUCCUUGAGAGGUGAGAACUUCUCGAAGGUGCGAUUUUUGGCGGGACGUAUCUCUUCUUUUCUAUUAUAGUUGUGGAUUCCCUCAUCGCGUUUUUGCUUAAGGAGUACCCUCAUUUCUGCAGUCUCCUCAGUCUGAAUGUACUUCUCAGUGCGAUUCAGGAGCUCCUCUAGGGUCAUAGGGGGUCGGCCUGCGAUGUACUCUUGAUAACGAACAUGCUUCAAAUUGUAUUGCAGUAUGUCGGUUAACAUUUCGUGAUUAAGGAACGGCACUUCAUGUACUGCUUUGAGAAGUCGUUGUAGGUAAUUCAUGAGCGACUCUUUGUCCCGUUGUAUGACCUUGAAGAGAUACGACCAUUUUUGGCGUAUUUCUUGCUUAUAGAGUAUUGGUGAUGGAAAAUCGUCGCUAGUUGAUCCAGAUUGUCUAUGGAGGAUCCGGCAAGCCGUUGAACCAAAUUUAUACCAGAUCAACUUGGUGGUCCGAAAAAUCUUGCAGUGAGCUGCGUUACUAAGACCGUAGAGGUCAAUCUUGGCGUAAACAUUAUUCAAGUGAUCUCGGGGAUCCCCAAUUUUGUCGAAUUGGGAGAUAUUGGGAUCCUGAAUCCGAUAAGCAACACUUCUUCCAUAAUAGCAUGAACAAAUGGGUAUUUCGAAUGGACAAUGCCUCAAAGUGAGCGGCCGUCGACCUCGAGACUUCUCGUCGAGGACUCCUUGAGUUGCAGUCGUCGGAGCCUGCUCGAUGCCUUCUUGUCUCCUGGUGUCGGGAAGCUCUACUUCCGAGUUGGUUUUGUGGGGAGUUUUAGUGGGGGUGCGCAUGUUCGCGGUGUCCCCCGCCUCGAGGCCCUUGACGAUAGUCAUACGACCGGGAAUAACCGCUUCUCGUCCGACGGCUUUGCGUCGCUUUCCCUUUAAGGGGCUCAGGCUCUUUGCCUUAGUGGACGCUGUGAUUAGCGACGAGUUUCCCUUCGAGGCAUGCGGUGUGAGGAUGUGCUACGCUGAGGCGAGUGGCGGUGAACGCGCCUUCUGAGGAUGUGCUACGCUGAGGCGAUGGGUGGUGAGCGUAUCUUCAAGGAGCCUGUUCGGAGGAAUAACUUUGGCCGUUGAGCGAUACUCUUUACUCUGAGACAUGGAGAUCCAAGAUCGGCGGAGUGGUACGGACAUGCACGAAAUCCGUAGGAUCGCUUCCCAUAUGAAUAGUUUCUUCAAAGUCAGUUGUGCUUUGAGCAUUGAUAUACUGAGCUACAACGUCCGUUACUGCCUAAGCUGCUACUUUGGCCACCGUCUUCUCCAUUAAGGCUUGUAGUUCCUCUGCAAUCAUCUAGAUGACCGACACUGAAGAUCCUGCAAGGUUGGCCGCUCCAAUUAUUUUUUUCCUUCGAGGUGGUUCUAUGACUCCAGCACUACCUUGAAGUGGUUGUUUUGAGAUUUCCUUGACCACCUUUAUUGGUUGCUCCCGUAGAUAUUUUACCUCGAGGCAGCUCUGAGACUCCACCGCUACCUUGAAGCGAUUAGUUGAGAUCGCCUUGACCCUUUUCGUUGGCCGCACCCGUAGUUAUUUUGCUUCGAGGCGGCUCUUCCUUCGAGGCAGCUCUGAGACUCCACCGCUACCUUGAAGCGAGUGGUUGGGAUCGCCUUGAUCCUCUUCGUUGGCCGCUCCCGUAGUUCUUUUGCAUCGAGGCAGCUCUGAGACUACACCGCUACUUUGAAGCGAGUGGUUGGGGUCGCCUUGAUCCUCUUCGUUGUCCGCUCCCGUAGUUCUUUUGCUUCGAGGCGUCUCUUCCUUCGAGGCAGCUCUGAGACUCCACCGCUACCUCGAAACGAGUGGUUGGGAUCGCCUUGAUCCUCUUCGUUGGCCGCUCCUAUAGUUCUUUUUCUUCAAGGCAGCUCUGAGACUCCACCGCUACUUUGAAGCGAGUGGUUGGGAUCGCCUUGAUCCUCUUCGUUUGACGCUCCCGUAGUUCUUUUGCAUCGAGGCAGCUCUGAGACUACACCGCUACUUUGAAGCGAGUGGUUGGGAUCGCCUUGAUCCUCUUCGUUGGCCGCUCCCGUAGUUAUUUUGCUUCGAGGCAUCUCUUCCUUUGAGGUAGCUCCGAGAGUCCACCGCUACCUUGAAGCGAGUGGUUGGGAUCGCCUUGAUCCUCUUUGUUGGCCGCUCCUAUGUUCUUUUUCUUCAAGACAACUCUGAGACUCCACCGCUACUUUGAAGCGAGUGGUUGGGAUCGCCUUGAUCCUCUUCGUUGGCUGCUCCUAUAGUUCUAUUGCUUCGAGGCAGCUCUGUGACUCCACCGCUACUUUGAAGCGAGUGGUUGAGAUCGCAUUGGUCCUCUUCGUUUGACGCUCCCGUAGUUCUAUUGCUUCGAGGCAGCUCUGUGACUCCACCGCUACUUUGAAGCGAGUGGUUGGGAUCGCCUUGAUCCUCUUCGUUGGCCGCUCCCGUAGUUAUUUUACUUCGAGGCAGCUCUGUGACUCCACCGCUACUUUGAAGCGAGUGGUUGGGAUCGCCUUGAUCCUCUUCGUUGGCCGCUCCCGUAGUUAUUUUGCUUUGAGGCAGCUCUGUGACUCCACCGCUACUUUGAAGCGAGUGGUUGGGAUCGCCUUGAUCCUCUUCGUUGGCCGCUCCCGUAGUUAUUUUGCUUCGAGGCGUCUCUUGCUUUGAGGCAGCUCCGAGACUCCACCGCUACCUUGAAGCGAGUGGUUGGGAUCGCAUUGAUCCUCUUCGUUAGCCUCUCUCGUAGUUUUUUUGGUUCGAGGCGGCUCUAAGACUCUACCGCUCCUCGGGGCGGCUCUGAGACUCCGUCGCUUCCUCGAGGCGGCUCUAAGACUCUUCCGCUACCUUGAGGCGGCUCUGAGACUCCGUCGGUUCCUCGAGGCGGCUCUAAGACUCUUCCGCUCUUCGAGGCGGCUCUGAGACUCCGUCACUUCCUCGAGGCAGCUCUAAGACUCUUCCGCUCCUCGGGGCGGCUCUGAGACUCUUCCGCUACCUUGAGGCGGCUCUGAGACUCCGUCGGUUCCUCGAGGCGACUCUAAGACUCUUCCGCUCUUCGAGGCGGCUCUGAGACUCUUCCGCUCUUCGAGGCGGCUCUGAGACUCCGUCGCUUCCUCGAGGCGGCUCUAAGACUCUUCCGCUCCUCGGGGCGGCUCUGAGACUCUUCCGCUACCUUGAGGCGGCUCUGAGACUCCGUCGGUUCCUCGAGGCGACUCUAAGACUCUUCCGCUCUUCGAGGCGGCUCUGAGACUCCGUCACUUCCUCGAGGCGGCUCUAAGACUCUUCCGCUCCUCGGGGCGGCUCUGAGACUCCGUCGCUUCCUCGAGGCGGCUCUGAGACUCUUCCGCUACCUUGAGGCGGCUCUGAGACUCCGUCGGUUCCUCGAGGCGGCUCUAAGACUCUUCCGCUCUUCGAGGCGGCUCUGAGACUCCGUCGCUUCGUCGAGGCGGCUCUAAGAAUCUUCCGCUCCUCGGGGCGGCUCUGAGAAUCUUCCGCUACCUUGAGGCGGCUCUGAGACUCCGUCGGUUCCUCGAGGCGACUCUAAGACUCUUAUGUUCUUCGAGGCGGCUCUGAGACUCCGUCGGUUGCUCGAGGCGAUUCUAAGACUCUUCCGCUCUUCGAGGCGACUCUGAGACUCCGUCACUUCCUCGAGGCGGCUCUAAGACUCUUCCCCGCUCCUCGGGGCGGCUCUAAGACUCUUCCGCUACCUUGAGGCGAGUGGUUGGGAUCGCCUUGAUCCUCUUCGUCAUGACACGUGAUCUAGUUUGCCUUCCCACAGACGGCGCCAAAAUGAUGCUGUUCCAAAAUGUUGGGUCAGCCCAAUGGUCUUGAAGCCCACAGGUCUCCUAAGUCCAGGAAUCUUCAAGCCCAAUAUCGGGAAUGCCGAGAGUCCUUGCCACGCGUCCGAGGUAGUCGAAGGGAUCGCUCCACUCGUUAACCUACAAAACAGUUAAAAACACUAGGUGACACGCCGGGGGUGGCCCGGCGAUUGUCCUCCGACGCUCAAGUCAGAAAAUUAUCACAAUAUAAACAAAUAAUAUUAAUUACUUGCCUAAAUAGUUCUUCCCUUGUUAUGUGAUUGAUAACACAUAUUUAUAGGUGGAGUUUGGUAUGGUUUUCUUGUAGAAAACCAAUGUGGGACAAAAACAUUAGAUUUCUUCCCAUAGCUUCUUAUGAGGUUCUUAAUUAAGUGCCUUUGUGUUGGGCUUUUCCUUUGAAUGAGCCUCAUGGGCUUUUUGGGUUAAAGCCCAAUUAGGCACAUCA
rnacentral:lncRNA from 1 species